rnacentral:rRNA from 1 species
GAUGAACGCUGGCGGCGUGCCUAAUACAUGCAAGUCGAGCGAACGGACGAGAAGCUUGCUUCUCUGAUGUUAGCGGCGGACGGGUGAGUAACACGUGGAUAACCUACCUAUAAGACUGGGAUAACUUCGGGAAACCGGAGCUAAUACCGGAUAAUAUUUUGAACCGCAUGGUUCAAAAGUGAAAGACGGUCUUGCUGUCACUUAUAGAUGGAUCCGCGCUGCAUUAGCUAGUUGGUAAGGUAACGGCUUACCAAGGCAACGAUGCAUAGCCGACCUGAGAGGGUGAUCGGCCACACUGGAACUGAGACACGGUACAGACUCCUACGGGAGGCAGCAGUAGGGAAUCUUCCCAAUGGGCGAAAGCCUGACGGAGCAACGCCGCGUGAGUGAUGAAGGUCUUCGGAUCGUAAAACCCUGUUAUUAGGGAAGAACAUAUGUGUAAGUAACUGUGCACAUCUUGACGGUACCUAAUCAGAAAGCCACGGCUAACUACGUG